rnacentral:misc_RNA from 1 species
GUUAAAAUGACACAAAUGUUCUGUGAAAAUCUCCCUCUAUCAAAAGAAUUGGAUGCUCAAGAGAGUAUGUAUGGUGAAGAUCUUUUGUCCAUGGCAUGUAACUUGUUGGUACAGCUCUUUUGGCGGACUAGGCACAUCGGGUAUCUGGUUGAAUCAGUUAUGAUCUUGGAAUUUGGUUUGACAGUAAGAAGACAUGUUUCACAGUACAAGAUUUUGCUGCUGCAUUUGUACUCUUAUUGGAAUUCUCUUCCUUUGGCGUAUGAAUGGUAUAAAUCACUGGAAGUGAAGAACAUAUUGUUGGAAACUGUAUCACACCACAUUUU